CGCAGGCAGUGUAUGCUUUUUCAGUCACUGUUUUCUAGAUAUCUACCAGUCUCUCACAUUUCGAACCGACUCAGAUUUUUCUGUGAACUUUCUAAUUUUGCGAUUCGUUCCUCCUUUCGCGAUACGCAUCUCACAGUCUCUCUCGCUCUGUAACUAAUGGCAACCCCGAAUCGGCAACAGAUAGAUGAUCAAACAAAGAUUAGGUUGAAGAAAGAAGAAGAAAAUGAGCAUAAGAAAAAGGGAAACGCAGAGGCUCACCUCUAUGCUACUAUAAAGGUUGCUCGAAAUGGGGACAUUUUUUAUUAGGAGAGGUUUCUAUUUUGAUCUUGUUGAUCAAAACAAAGUACACAGUUUUCGUAUCCAGACACAGAUGCCAUUUAACCUCUUCAAGUUGUUGCAGGAGGAGGUUGCUAAAGAGUUUGGUGUACCUGUGCAAUUUCAGCGGUUUUGGUUAUGGGCAAAGCGUCAAAAUCAUACUUAUUGUCCAAACCGGCCGUUAAUGCCUCAUGAGGAGACACAAUAUGUAAUUACUUAGCCAUAAAUAUUUUGCUAUGUACCAUGGUUUUUCCGCCUGCUGAAGUUCUAAUACACUUGCUCUUCGAGUUUCUCACGACUUAUGCGUCACUUCUUUAUAAGACUAGAUUACAGACCUUCUAAUCUCCAUUAUUCGAGUGAGACGAAACAUGGAUAAAACCAGCUUACAGCUCAUCAUGUUACAUUUUUGGAUCGUAGGUUGGACAGGAAAUACAUCUCAUUCCUCCUCCUGAUAGAUCAAAAGAAGAUAGUCUUCUUAUUUUUUAAGCUUUAUGAUGCUGAAAAAGAAGAACUUCAGUAUAUCGAGAGACUCUUUGUGAAGGGUAGUGGUAAGCCUUUGGAAA